UUACGGGAGGCAGCAGUAGGGAAUCUUCCGCAAUGGGCGAAAGCCUGACGGAGCAACGCCGCGUGAGUGAUGAAGGUCUUCGGAUCGUAAAACUCUGUUAUUAGGGAAGAACAAAUGUGUAAGUAACUAUGCACGUCUUGACGGUACCUAAUCAGAAAGCCACGGCUAACUACGUGCCAGCAGCCGCGGUAAU
rnacentral:rRNA from 1 species